rnacentral:rRNA from 1 species
GAUGAACGCUAGCGGCAGGCUUAACACAUGCAAGUCGAGGGGUAGAAGCAGCUUGCUGCUUUGAGACCGGCGCACGGGUGCGUAACGCGUAUACAAUCUACCUUUUACAGAGGGAUAGCCCAGAGAAAUUUGGAUUAAUACCUCAUAGUAUUUUCGAAUCGCAUGAUUUGAUUAUUAAAGUUCCAACGGUAAAGAUGAGUAUGCGUCCCAUUAGCUAGAUGGUAAGGUAACGGCUUACCAUGGCAACGAUGGGUAGGGGUCCUGAGAGGGAGAUCCCCCACACUGGUACUGAGAUACGGGCCAGACUCCUACGGGAGGCAGCAGUAGGGAAUAUUGGGCAAUGGUCGCAAGACUGACCCAGCCAUGCCGCGUGCAGGAUGAAGGCCCUCUGGGUUGUAAACUGCUUUAUCUGGAAGAAAAAGUCCAUGCGUGGAAAAUUGCCGGUACCAGAUGAAUAAG